UAAAUAGAGUUGUUCCAGGAGUAUACUAAUAGUACCGAGUAAGAAAUAGAAAGCAAAAGGAAAAAAAAGAGCCGAAGCUCUCUGUGAGAAAAGAGAAAGGUUGUAACCUUUCAGUGUAAAAGGCUGUAGCCUAGAGUUUGUAAUACUGAGAUAUUAAUAUAUAAAGUGUGUGCUUGUUAUACUGAAAAUUUAGUUUUAUUUUGGUAGAAACCCAUACACGUUUCCAACAGGUACCUCACAUCUUCUGAUACUCCUGCAGUCUUAGUCUUCACUGCAUCUUUUUUUAAAGUUUCUGUCUCUUUCUCAUUAUCUCUGCUCAUUGGCCCGACGACUUGAUUCGCCAAUUUAGUUUCAUCCUUCACUUGAUCCAAACUCUGAGCAACCGCGUCGAUAAGUACUUCAUUAGUAUUGAUCUUUGGUUGAGAUGAUCCUUGAUUUGUAUCCUCUGCAUUUUGCUCGGUUGAACUCUCCAGAGAUGACAUUUUAAAUUUUUAGAAAAUUUAGGGAAGCUAAGCCGAGGAGAAAACCUGCAGAGUUUGUAGUAAUUAACAUUGUGAACCAUUUAUAUAGUUGCUAGCUAAGCUCCAGGGUGUGCUUUAAAUUGUUGAGAGUACGACGUCACGACGUCUCGUUUUAAUACAUUUUAGUUACAUAUUUAGUCUUGUUACAGCGAAUAAUCAACUUUUAUUACUAAAAAAAAUCGGAAUAAAAUAUAGAGUUCGUAAUCUAUUAACAAUCGAGCUGUUUGUCAGAUGCACAAUUAGAGGAGCAUCAGGUCCAACGAAAAAAAGCUAACAACCGCAGUAAUCUGACGUUCCUUACUAAUAAAGUUUACAAGUCUGUUAAUUAACGAACUGGAGGAAGAAGGUUGUUAGAUGAGUUUGACGCGAGGCUUUUUGCACUAUAUAUAAUAGAGUUAGUGUUCUAAAAAUCCCCGACUAAACUGAUUCAUCCCCUGCAAGGUCGGCCACCCAUUCGAUUUUUGAAAUCCGAUUAAUCCUUAUAUAUAUUUCGCUUAAUUAAAAUACUAUAUUACUUAAAAUAUGAAUAAUUAUAGAGUUUAUGAAUAUAGUAAAUAUAUUGGUUACUAAAUAGCUAAUACAAUAAUAACUAAAUAUUAAAUAAUAUUUUAAUAUUAAAAUAAAUCUGAUUUUCACUCCGAUUAAUCCCUGAUUUCCGAUUAAUCCCUGAAUCGGUAGAUCAACCAAUUAGGUCCGAUUCCCGAUUUCUGUAACAUUGAAUACAGUUGUUGACAAUUUGUCUUUUUUUUUAAAUAUAAUUUCUGUUCAGAUUGGUAGUUUACAGGUCUGCAUCCACGUGAGCUUGGUCACCACUUGCUGAAUUUUAUCUUUUGUUCCAUGAACAUGAUGAGCUUCUUCAGUUCAUAAAUGACUCAGCCUUGCAGCAACAGUUGACAAAAUUGCUUCUGCCAUUGGAUAUCCUAUAUCUUCUUCUCUGACAGAAACACAAUGUACUCGAAACAAAAAGGACCUGGAGAGUAUUUAUCACAGUUGACUUACGGAAAUUUCUGGUGUAAUGAUGCCAUAUUCUCCUAAACUUUAAGGUGUUGGAGGAAGUCCUCUAUCAUAUAAUAUUUAAUACUGAACCCUCGACAACCGGUAAAAAGAGUAAAGGUCAGACCAUUAGACCAAGAGGUCAUCGGCAACUUUCAGGAAAUUACGUAUUUUUUGAGAAGAAUUAUUAAUCGUUAUAAUUGUUAUUGAAGACUAAUUGAUUGUCAAAGUGUAUCAGAUUCUUUUAAACCAUUCUUAAACAAAUCAAUUAUAAAAUGCUUACCUGCUCAGCUACUAUCACAUAAAAUAAGUUAGCAAGGAAAAUCAUUUCAGCAACCACCAAGGCUCGUCUAAAAAGUAAAAACAGAUGACUAGUUGGUAUGCAUCUUCAUCCAUUUCCAAUAUUAGUGAACAAACAGUUACAAUUUGUUGCCAUAAAAUUUUACAACGUAAUCAAACUGGAAAAUUUAUUUGGAAACAUAAUUUUUUUUUCUCGUAUAAAAGUUUAGCUGCCCGACGCACUUAUAAAAAAUCUAUAGCGUUUGUUAAUAAGAGAAACUCACUUUUAGUGGAAUAGAAAUAUAAAAUACCAGUACAAAAAUUUGAUUACCAUUAUAUAAUUUAUUUUAUUUAAUAACAAAAAUUAUUAUACUAUUAUGAAAAUACUUUUAUGUUGGUUAAUUAGUAUUUUGUAAUAUAACGACUAUCCCACCAGAAUUAUAUCUUUAUAAUCCUUCACUUAACUUGAUUAAUUGUCAUGAUUUAGAAUAUUUAAAAUUUCAUAUUCUAAUUAGGGUAAUCGCGGUGCACGCUGCAGAUUUUGUCUAAAAUCGCAAACUCAACCGCAUAUGCGGAUUGGUUGAAUAUUCGAAUCGUGCAUCGUGCUAGCAUAAAAACCGAGUUAAUCACACCACAAAAAUGCAUAAUAUAAUUAUAAAUAAUACACAUACAUAUAUAAUAUAAGUUCAUUUACCCAUUCUUAAUACAUUUAGAUAUGUUAUUAUAUUAAGGUCCGGCGCGGUUUAAACCGCACUAGUAAUAUGUCAAAUCUCAUACAGUGCUUGUGAAUAGUUCAAAACAUAAUCGCACCACGAAAAUUAAAAAUCACGUUUUGUGGUGCAGUUUGGAUGGUUUUAUAAUCACCCUUGAUCCUAAAUACAUAUUUUAUAGAAACUAUUAUAUCAACUGCUAAAUGAAAAUAUUAUACUUAUUACAAAUCCAUCAUUCGUUGAUAAGUUACUUGAUCAAUAAAUAUUACAGAUAUUAUGCUAUCUAUUGCUUAGCUAUAUCCACUUGUACAAAUCCAUAUUAAGUAUUUUAACUUAUCAUAAUGAAACAUCAUAUUCUUAAUAAUCUAAACAAUAAAGCAUGGAUACACGAAUUAGACUAACAAAUAAUUAAAUUAAAAUUUGAAUUUCAUAUUUCCGUCAAAAAAAAAAUUUGAAUUUCAUAUUCAUUUGAGAAUAAUUUUUAAAAUUUAUCUAUUACUGACGAAAUUUAAAAAAUAAAAUCUUUCAAAGUAUAAUGACAAUUAACUUAAUCACUUUAUCUAUAAAAAUAAUACAUUAAAAAAUUCUACAAAAUUUUGAUUAGUUGACAUCCGUCCAAAAACAGCUCCCCUCAGAGUGGAAACACGAUAUCUUGUUUUUUUUGAAACAAAGUUAUUAAUCUAAUAAUAAAAAAUUAUACAGCAUUUAUGCCAAUGUUCAAGUCAAACAAAUAGUAACAUGUAAUUGCAUGUUCUGAUUAAGAGACAGUUAAACAGUUUUUUGAAGAUAAUCUAUAUACAAAUACUACAAAUACAAGGACGCACUUCAUAUAUUCUCGUUGAAUUACUGGUACUCUCUCUUCAUCAUGUCCCAAUGGAGUUAUUGUAUGAGCUAUCGAUGAGAAAUGUGAUUUCAUACAAAAUUUCUCCACUAAAUCAAGACCCCGCUUAAAAUCAAGAAGCUAAAAAUAGCCUCUCACCAAGAAGAGAAAAUAAAUUGAAAUACAAGUCAAAAACCAAAAAAAUAAAAACAAACUGAAAAAAAUUAUCAAAAUGAAAUUUAUGAAUCAUGUGUGUUGUCCUCUCAUACGAAAUAUUCGUUAAAAUAUUUGUUCAAAAUAAUCAUUUUGAAAAGGUGAGAACAUGUUUUCAUUUUUUAAGCAUAUUACACUUGACUAAUCCUUUCUGUUUGUUCUUCCCCCUCGAAUUGUUGGUCGUUAGGUCUCUCUUCUCGCUCUCCAACAAAAAAGAAAUUCAUUUUUGAUCCAAGAUUCAAUUCACCGGACUUGAGGAAUACGGUGACUAGGUGAUGUUACCAUAUGAUUAUUGAUGUUUUAACAUGUUUUUCUUUAGUUUUUUAAUAUUUUAUAAAUGUUUGUUGUGUGUAUUUAUGUCACAAUGAAGGUACGCUAUCUUAAACUUUUGAAGAUUUACUAUUAUAUUGAUUUUGGUGGGUUAUGUGAUUAUAAGUGUUAGAUGUAGAUGUGAAUAUUGAUAGUCUUGAAUUCAUGUAUCUGCUACUUGUUAUUUUUUUCUCGAUCAUUGUGUUAUGAGAUGUUCAAGACGAGUGUUGUAGCUCUUUUGGUUGAUCGUUAUACCCUUUUGGAGUCUAUAUUUUGUUAUAUUAUUUUUUGGUUAAAAUUUUAAGUUUCUUGUGCACUAACUUUGCUGCAUUUUUUCAGAUGUUUUUGGGAAUCAUGUUCUUGAUUUGGAAGUGCAUGUGGGCAGUGGACUGUAUGCCAAGGAUAUUCUCCAUUACGCUGUUUUGGACUCCUUGAGUAUGUUUGAGCCUAUGCUGGAAGACAAACGCCCUCUCCAUCAUGGGGUUUGAUGAGUCUGACCCCCAGCCUCCUCCCAAGAAACUACGCAGGGCGGCUAACGUCUGAUGUUAGUCUGUCCACGCAGUGUGCCUCAGUGUCCAGCUAUGUUUUAGUUUAUUUAAGUUCCUUAGGUUUCUAGGUCUAGGUUAUUGGCUUCGGUGCUUUCUCGGGGUCUCUUUCUCCUUUUGCUGAUAGUUUGGUUUUGUGGUUGGCCUCGUGCCUUUUUGCUUGGCUUUGGAAGCCACUUGUAAGAUGCUCCGAGAUAGAUUCUAAUAUAUAACCGUUUUGCUUAUAUAAAAAAGAAAAACUCUGGCUAGUUUACACCUUUCAGAUCAUUGUUUGAUUUGAUUAAUAUAUGAUUGUUUUGUGAUCACUUGUUUCUUUUUCUUCAAGUUUGUCCAAUGACAUGAGUGAAUAAUUUUUUAGUCUAAGUGUUAGAUUCUUUGGGAUAGUAGUACGUGUAUGUUUCUAAACUUCAACUUGAAUUAUUAUUCAUUUGUAGUCAAUCAAAAGUUUCAAUUUCUUGAAUUGAAAAUCAUAUUUGAUCUUGAAAAUUCUAAUUAAAUUUUAUUAAUCUGUUUUGGAGAUUACAACGGCUUUGUAAUAUAUGAGUAUUUCAUUUAUUCAACUUUAAUUGCUGCAUUUAAAUUCAUUAAUUUUGUUUGACCGUAAUAAAUUCAUAUUAUGAUGAGAUAUAAUUUUACAUUUUACAUAUUUAUAAAUUCUGUUUUAAUCCAAAACAAAUUUGAUACCUAAUAAUUUUAAUCAUAGAAGUAUAUAAAUCCAACCGUUACAAAAUUAUUUUUAUCUAAUUUAUUUUUUAAACAACAAACUAAACAAAACUAAUGUUAUGCACAAUAUUAAAAUUAGUAAGCUGGAUUUAAUCCUCGCGUAAUAAAUAGUUAACAUUACAAAAACUUUUAAUCAAAAAAAUUUUGUAAAUAAAAUAAUAGAUUGUAACAUAAAUUUGUUUUAAUCAAACAAAUUUCAAAACAUAAUCAAAUUUGAUUGGAAAAAAAUUAUUACUUAACUGCAUACAUGGGAAAAGCCCUAGCUUGACUAAGCGGGGAAAACUUAGAAGAAUGAAUGUGCUGGAGGGAUCGAAAAUAAGUAUACAAUAUUCUAUGAAGAUUAAAGAUACACAAGAUGAUCAACAAAAAACUUAACGCAAUAAAUGAUGUCCACAACAAUACACUAAUAGUACAAUACUACCAAACAAGCAUGAAGUCAGAAGUCAAAAAUAAGACAUGACGAAAGAACGAGACAAAAGUUUAGUACUCGAGGAGCAGUUCUGACUUACUAAAAAGAUUUUAUUUCAUAUUUUAUAUUUUAUUUAAGCAUAUGAUUUAUUAUUGGUAAAUAAUUUUUUUCAUCAUUUAAAUAUAUUAAUAAUAAGAAUUUACAAAAUAUUUUAAAAAGGUCCGUGCAUUGCACGGCGCUAUAGGCUAGCAUUAGACAAUUCACAUAAAUAAUUAUUAUGCCUAGGUUAGUCUUUUGGUGAAUCUUUUUACUCGUACUAGUAUAUAGAUAAAAUCAACAUCCACAUCAUAGACAACUUGUGAAUGUUCCUAAUAGCAGCAUGCAAAGUAGUAGCGCCACCAGGAUCAUUUUAAUUUAAACGACUUGUACAAGUUGUAUAGAUCACCUUCACUAUAUAUAACCCUUUUCCACACAAAUGUAGAUUGGAGUUUUGCCUUGCCAUAUUUGAAUUUAAUUGUGUAAAUGAAGAACUGUUGUAUCUACAUGAUUGUAAAAAUUAAGAAAAUGAUAAACUGAAUUGAUUCAACUAAAUAUGUUACAACAGAGUAUAUAUACAGAACUGUAUAACCUCACUAAAACGUAAUUAACCUCAUAACAAACAAAGUCAACAUCCCCUCUCAAGUUGCAAGUCUGAAAUAGAUUACAGACAUUGAACUUGGAACAUGCUUCAACUGCUACGUACGUCUAUAUGUUGUCACAAGUGGACCUUUCUCAAAGUUUUCUUGAACCAAGCGACAAUCAAUUUCGAUGUGCUUGGUCUACUUUCUCAUAGUUUUCUUGAGCCAAGUGACAAUCAAUUUCGAUGUGUUUGGUUUGUUCAUGGUAUAUUGGAUUUGAUGCGAUGUGCAUAUUUGGACGAAACCUGCAAAUCCUUUAGCACGGUAACAAGCCAAAUCACCUCACACCAUAGUUCUAUAAUCCUACUAUAACAAGUAUCUAUGUGUUGAUCCUCUUUUCUUUUUUUACCUUUCUAGAUCAUUUUUCAUCCUUCCAUACUUUAGUCUAUAAACAAAUAUUUAUGUGUUGGAUAUCACAUCUUUUAUCUCUCAUUUACUUGGAAGGACCAUACUUACCAAAUUAUGUAUUUCUUUGUUGGGGAUAUUGUCCGCUUGGCCCGAGCCCACACGAUUUUGUAUUUGGGACAUCCCAAAAAGCCUUGACCUAUUGAAGUUGUUCUGACUAGUUAUAUUCUAGCUUUCUUCCCCUCACACAACCGAUGUGGGACAACUCCUAACGAUCUUCCCCUUCACACAUUAGGCUCGACACUUGUCGAAUCCGGCCUCUUGAUAAGCGAUCGGGCUCCCCCCUAACCCCAUACUGGAAGUUCGUCGGGUCAUCUGGCUCUCAGGCCCAAACUAGAAGGCCCAUAUGUCUUAUCCUUAAGCCCAUUCUGGGUAGCCCAUCUGCCUCUUCCUAGGCCCAUUCUGGAGUCCACUUUAGAUUGUUAUGGACAGUUCCAACCUAACUCUCAUACUACUUAUUUGGCCAUCUAAAUGAUCCUAACUCUACAAUAUUAUAAUAUUAUCCACUUUGGACCAAGUCCGCACCACUUUGUUUGCAAUUUUAAUUUUAACCUAAUUAAAAAUUGUAUUACUCUGAACAUGAUCCAUUAUAUAUGAAUUCAGAUCCUUUAUACUCCCUCCGUCCCAAUUUAUGUGACCCUCAUUCCUUGUUGGGACGUCCCAAAAAAAAUGAGCCUAUAAUACUUACUAUUUUUGAACACUACCUUUCACUAUUUCACCCAUUACUUCUCUAUUUUAUACUCUUUUUUUAUUAAACAAAUGCUAUUACACCCACUACCUUUCUCCACCAUCUCAAAUCUAUUACUCCCUCCGUCCCACAAUACAAGUCUCUUUUGAAAGAAAUUUUUGUCCCAUAAUACCUGUCCACUUUUAGUUACCAAUGCAAAUAUAUUGACAUUAUUCCAAAAUUACCCUUCUUAAAAGUUGUAUAACAAUUACUGUGGGUUGAAUAAGAGUCUACAUUCAUGCAUUUAUUAGGGGUACUAGUCAUCUUUGACAGCUGAAUGUUCAUUAAUCUGAGUUACUCUUUUUCUUAUGAUAGGUUGUUGAAACUUAAAAUUAGGAUUAUUUUUAAUCGGUCCCUAUACCACCAACCUGGGAAUUUAUUGACGUACUGAACUGCAGCACUACCAGGAGUCCAGGACUGCCAGUAAUAUAGAAUUUAUAAUUAAAUAUAGUAUCAAGGUGGCAUUUGAAAUUUUCUGAUACAUUAUAUAUAUUAUCUGCUUCAUAAGUUUUCUUCAAAAUUAAACAGUUAUCUUUAAAAUAUUAAAGGUAGAAUGCAUAGCAUAGAGUUCUAUAACAGCAAAAAGAAAGUUUCAUAGGUUACAGUGAUAUAUUUGAAAUGAAUAGAGACGCGGGACAAGGUGGUUUUGGUUCUGACUUCUAAUGUUACUCAAGGUUGAUAGGGAGUUGAAGUCCUCUUUUUCUUCUCCAGCUUUAAGAAGGAUUUUCAGUAACUUAUGCUCCAGAUAUAGUUAGAAUGCAUCUAGUGAAAGCAUAAACAAAACUUGAGGGUAUUAAUAUUGAGAUCAUUAAACGAGUAUUAGUUACGAAGCAUGUACACAAUUACAGAUCACUUGAUAUAGGAGUCGAGCACAAUACAUCAUGAUAUUUGAAGAUUCAUUAAAACAUGUGGAAAUAACGAUAUGCAUACUCAAUCUUUAUUUCUUUUGUAACGAUCAAAUACUAUCUUGAUGAUCCAAAGAAUAAGAAUAAGAAGAAAGAAGAGAGAACCGAUGAUGCAUAUGGCUAUGGCAAGAACUGGUGUUUCGGAUAACACCACAUACGUUCCUGCAAUAAAUGUCACCAUCAUUGCCGAAAUAGAAAGAAUGUUAAGCACAGUUGAUGAAGCAUUAAGCAGUGACACUUGGUGGAUAUCUUCAUUCAUCGACUCGAGGAAGUAGAAAAACAAUGAAGAUGUUGACAUUAGUAGAGCUAGUGCAUCCGAUACCAUGAAUACAUUGAAAGCUCUCUUUUUGGAAAGAACCACUAGUCCUUCGUCAACCUCUCCACUUUGAUGGAGACCACCAGGCAUAGUAAAUCCUACCGUAAAAGUUACUGUGGUUAUCAGUGCAGUAACUAGUAUCUGGGUGUUGGUCCUCAUUUUAUAUGUUUUUCGAUCUUUUGUCCUCUGUUUCUCUAAUGUUUUCUUCUCUUCCUCAAAUUUCACAUCUUUUUCCUUUCGUUUACUUGGGGGGGUUUUAUUACAUCUCCAAAUAUCAGCUUUCUUCUCUGUUCUUUUACCCCAAAGCUUCCAGCCUGAUUUACUAGUCAGGACCUCAUCAAGGGCAAUUUUAAUAUGCACCUACAUAAAAAGGUCAACAAAUAAUUAUUCAUAAUGUUAAUACAGAGACAUGAUCCUUUAUAAUAAGACUGUGCUGAAACUUUAGAGAUAUUAAAUAUAUCAACGCAAUAAAAUUGCUCCUGCCUCGGUGCCUCUGCUGCCAUUAGCCAAAGAUCUAGCUAACAAGGUGGACAAGAAUGGAAGGUAAAGAGAGUAACCAUUUAUUACAUACUCAUAAUAAACAAGACUAAAUGCUUUUACCGUUUAGAGUACCUCAUUAUUUUUUGUUUCAGAAAAAACAAAAAACUAGUUUUCAUCAAUUAGUGAAAUAUAUAAGUGAGGUUUCUCAGGUACCUGAUCGGCAACAGUAGCAUCUUCAACAUAAAGCAUGUCCCGAGGAGUAAAAUCUCUCUUGUUUCUUUCCAUUGUAUUAAUUCCUUUAUGUUUUAUUAGUCCCGGAAUAAAACAACCAUGGUAGUUAAGUAGAUGGAGAGGAGUAUCAUCAUUUUUAUCCUUCUGUUUCAAAAUCUUGUCCUUGUAUUUAUUCGGACAAUAUUUCAAAAUACUUUGUACCAUCUCUUUUCUGUUAGCUGCAGCUUUUCGAUUAUCAACAGCAUCAGCAACAGCUUUUUGAUUAUCAACAGCAACAGCAACAGCUUUUCUAUUUUCCGCAGCACGUGCAACUGCCAUAUGUAGUGUAUUUUGACCAUCUUGAGUAACGAAUGUGUAUGGAGAGCGCUCAUCAGAAGACAAAGCUGGCCUUAAUUCCAUUUGUACCAUCUCUUUUCCACUAUCAGCAGCCGCUGCAACAGCUUUUCUAUUUUCAGCAGCAGGAGCCACAAUUGCCAUAUGUAGUAUAUUUUGAUCAUCUUGAGUAAUGAGUGUGUAUGGAGAGCACUCAUCAGAAGACAAAUCUGGCCAUAACUCCAGAAGUCGUACCAAUGUAGAAGUAUAUCCACGUUCGAUGGCUACAUAAAAUGGAGUUGCUUCCAUAUUUUCGUAAUCAAAUGGGUGUUCCAAAUCUUUUUGUUCUCUUAUUAGGGCAUCAAGUAUGGCAUCAAAUUCGUAAUACACCGCGUAGUGAAGUGGUGUCCACCCAUUAUCCUCUUUAAAAGUUACAAGCUUUUUGGCCUUUCUCAAGAGACUUAAUACAGAGUCUGAAGAAAAAAUAAAUACGUGACUUGGUUAAUUAUAUCAAAAUAUACACAUAAUAAUUUUGAAUUUUAUUCACCCCACAUAUGGUACUCCCUCUGUCCCUCUCAUUUCUUUACAGUUUUUUCACACCGUUCGACACGCAUUUUAAGGUGCAUAUAAAAUAUAGUUCUAUAACUUAUAUUUAAAUUUUUUCUUUUAUGUAUAAAAGUUUAAACAUCAAAUUUUUAUCUAGAAGAAAAAAAAGUUCAAAAUAAUUUAUUGAACUACAUUUUACGAGAGCAUUAGAAUGCGUGCCGAGCCCCGUCCCCCAAUGUAAACAAAUGAGAGGGACGGAAGGAGUAUCAAUUAUACUGAAAAUUUUACUUGAAGUAGCAUACAUAUUCUGCACAUGCUUUAGAAUUACUUGAAGGAAUCACAAAAUCAAAUAUGAUAGGAACGUAACUGUUAUUCUGCCGACGUAGUGUAUUAUAUAGUCCUCGAUAAAUAUAUAAAGUAUUAGUACAUACCUUUAUCAAGCUCUUGAAUAGCACGAAUUAAGUCAAGCACGUCAGCGGGAUCAUGGUCGAUUAUUCCAGCUUUGUAUGUUUCAGAGAGUGCAUUGAUAAUGUCAUCACUACACUCGUCAUCAAUGGCCUUGCAGAUUAAACGCAUGAGACAAUUUCUUUUCAUUUCACCACCAGGUUGAUUGGCCGGAUCUUCCUUCAGUAUCAGUUUAACAGCGUUCACAUCUUUUCUCUCCACAGCAAUUUGCAAGACAGUUCUUCCCAGCUCGUCUGUCCUACUAAAUAAUGCUUCAAAAUCCUGUGCACUACUCCAGCGUUUGGCUGCAUCAACCAUCAUGCCAAUCACAUCGCACUCUCCUUCUGUUCCUUCUGUUAAAGUCAAGUAAUCACUACAAGCCAAAAUGAGUUGUUACUCCCGCUAAAACUACGUUUUUUUCCGUUACUCUUCACUCCAAUUUGGCGUUUGACAGCAAUUAGCAUAAGGUGUCAAAAAAUAAUCUCAAGUGUUUAGAUUGUAAGCUUUUAUUGAAGGUAAGUUUUCUUAUCAUUACUAUAUAAAAAGACAACUAUACUUAAAACAUGAUACAUGAAGUACUAAAUUGUUAAUAUAACAUCCAAUAUUUAACCUAUAAUAUAAAUUUUCAACAUUUUAAUUGCAGUUUGUAGUUGUUUAAACUUGACAUUCCAAAAUUCAUAAUGUGUUGCCUUUUGUAAUCCUUUCUUAAAAAAAAAACCUUAACAUUAAGUCGGAUGGACAUUUUUAUACAUGCAUAUGAUUUUCACUAAAAACACAUAUAUAAUAAUUCGACUUUAUAUUUAAAAAAGUAAAAUUUCUUUUAUGGUAAAAUAAAUUUUUUUAAUUAAAAAAGGUAUGAUUUAAUUGUAUUUUUAAAAAAUAAUAUUAUGCAAAUGAAACAUGAGAUUAGAUUUUUCACAAUUCAAAAACUUAUUAUUCGAUAAAAGAAAUAUCUUAGAUAACUUUAGUAAGAUCAAAAUUCUUAUAUUUAAUUUCUUUCAAGUAGUGAUGAUUGGGAGAAUUAAUAAUAAAAUAAAAAAAUAUUUUAGAUAAUAAAAUUGAAUUAUUAGAUUUUUUUGAUAAAAAUAAAAAAUUAUAAAUUUUGGAAUGUCAACGAUUACAUUUCAGCAUGACUACUCUUAAAAUUAAAAGUUAUAAACUGCAGUUAACUAUUAAAAAAAAUGCUUAUGGCCUCUCUGCAAACUCAAUUAUUGAUAUAAUUUUAGGAGCACACUGAUUCUCUUAUUUUGAAUAGCCGCCAAUAACUCAAUUUUUGUUCCCAAAGGAUCCUAUAUUUAAAGCAUCUUUCAAGGCUCUUAUAAUAUUUUCCUAUUAUCAUUUGACAAGGAAAUUACAAUUUUACAAUUCAAUAUAAAAUAAAAAUUAUGCACAAAAUAUUAUCUUUACACAACUUUACCACAAAUAUUAAAAUAAAGUAUAUAUAAACAAUAACACCACAAACAUAUGUGGAUACUCAACUGAAUAAGUAUAAUUGUUAUUGUUAUUUUGAUCCCUCAUCAAAUAUUAAUUAAUACAAUAAAGAUAACUUAUUAAUGUUUUUGACAUUUAAUCAUAUAAAAUACUCAAUAGAAUAUUUAAUCAUAACACUGAAUAUAUCGAUAUAUAAUCUUAUUACUGAAAUUUAAAAAUAUGAGACCAUCACCCUAAAAACUUAAUAAAAAUGAUACCUGAGUAAAGGUUUAUGAAUUUAUGAUGCCCUCCAAAGUUUAUGCGGCCCUUAAGUUAUCAUAUACUAUUUAUUUUAUCAAAGUAAACUAUCUCCUAAUAAAAGUAAAUCAUAUAUCCAUACCUCGGUCUAUAUUCUGUAUGAGAGCAUGCAGAGCAGUUGUCCUACCACCCGGACCAUCUAAAACCAGAAGUUUGCAAUCCCUACAGAUCACCUUUACUAUAUCUUUGUAACCAUUUUCUGCAGCUAUGUAGAUUGGAGUCUUGCCUUCACUGUUUUGAACAUGGCAAUCAUUUGAAGAAGGUAGAAGUCUGGCCCCAUGAAUGAGAGCUUCAACCACUUGAGUGUGUCCAUUUUGUGCCGCGAGGUGAAAUGCAGUUUGUUCCAAUCUAUCCCGCUUGCCUAAAAGGUUUUUCUUUGCAAAUUCAAUCACAAUGAAUCGCACGUUUUCAAUAUCUCCCUUUUUUGAUUCAACGUGAAGGAUAGUUUCUCCCGAUUUGUUGAGUUUAUCAGCUUUCAUUCUCAAUGCAGCUUUUGAAAUAGGAUCUCCCCCAAUGGCAUCCGUAAAACAACUGGCAAUGACAUCAUGAUCUUCUUUCAUCCCUGUAUACUUUUCAUGUAUCAUCAAUUUUGCUCGUUCAUUAAAAAUCACAUCUUUUCUCAGUCGUCUACUUAGAACCACAGAACGAGAAUAUUUAUUAUCCCUUGUAGGAUCAGUUUGAAUACCGUCAAGUAUAAUUUUGAUUUGUACCUGUAAAUAAAACAAAAAUAAUAAUAUACAAUUAUAUUUACUUGGAGACGUGAAUAUAAAUUAACAAUUUGUCUCUUUUUAAUUGUCCACUUUUGAUAUUUAAUGGCCACUUUUUGACCAAAGUUUUUUUUUUUGCUAAAUCUUUUGACCAAAUAUUAAUGAACAUCUUUUUAUUAUUUUGAAUACUGAAUAUUACAUUAAAAUAUAUUAUAUGUACUUUACAAAAGUAAAAUUUCUAUUUUUUUUCAAUUAUAUAAUAUAUAUAUAUAUAUAUAUAUAUAAGGUUCACUAAAAUUUUAUUAGAAAUAUUUAUUAUUACCAGUAAUAAUAUAUAAAUUUUUGUAAUAAUUUUUUUCAAAAUUUUUUUAAAAAGAUAAAAAAAAUUACAAUAACUUGAAAAUAAUUUUAACUAAUUCAAGAGAUAACAUGAUCAAUGUUCACCCACAAUCACCUCAAUGAAUAUAGAGAUCCAUAUAAAUACUUAUACAUGAUUUUUGAUGAAAAAAUUGUUUUUUUUUCAAAAUAUUAUAUAAUAAUCACAUGUAUAUCUAAUUUUGAGAAUGAUUUUUUUGUAAGAAUAAUUUGAAGAUGAUUUAUAUAUUUUUUUAUCAUUGGAAGCAAAAAUAUUUUGUAAUGUAAUUUAAAUAUUAUUUAUUACAUUUAUUAUCAUAUUCAACAUUGAAGGGGAAUCAUCGAUGAAGAUGUACAUAGAAGUAGUACCUGAUCCUCCAUGAUUUCAUCUUCAAAAUACAACAUGUCACGAGGAGUCCAUUGUUUCUUAUUUUUUAUCCCUGUAUCAAGUCCUUUGUAUGUACAGAAUUCUGGAAUGAAGCAACCACGGCCAAUAAGUAAGUGAAGAGGUGUAUCACCGUCAUCAUCCUUCUUGUUUACAAACUUCUCCUUGCACACUUCUGGACAAUGUUUUAAAAUGCACAGUAUCAUCUCUUUUCCACUUUGCAAUGCUGCUAAAUGUAGUAUAUUUUGCCCCUUUUUAUCACUACCAGUAAAUGUCAAAGACGAAGCUGGCCAUGACCUUAAUAAAAUUUCCAGAGUAGACAUAUAUCCUUUCUGGACUGCUAUAUGGAACGGUGUUGAUAUCCUAUCUGGAUAUACAAAUCCAUGCCCAUAUCUCUUUUGUGCUUGUAUUAUCUUGACCAUUAUCAAAUUAUGUUGAUAAUAUACUGCAUGGUGAAGUGCUGUCCAUCCAAGAUUGUCAUGAAAUGUUACAAGCUCUUUGAUGUCAUAAUUAUUUAGCACACUGAGGACAUAUUCUGCAAACAAAUUGCAAUAACUGAAUCAGUUAUACAUUAUUCUCUUCCUAUAUGCAGGUUUCAAAUUGUUAAAAACUAGACGACGGAUCAACAGAUUGAUCAAGGAGAUAAAUGUUCUGAGUUUGUCAUUUUUUCUAAUUAUUGUGGAUUUGUGGUUUUUUUUUUUAAUUCUACUGUCAUAGAAAUUUAUAAAACAUGUUAAGACUUAAGAGUUAAAAAUAAAGGGACAUACUCUCUAUAGUUAAACCUAUCUCUAUAUAUUACAUAGCAUACAAAAGAAUUAGGGGUCACUUGAUAACAUGUGGAUGAUAGAUAUUAUGGGCUCAUUCAUAAUGGGCCUCAUUAAGAUUAUUUGAUAGCAAUUUAUUUGGACUUCACACCAAAUACUCGAGGAUGCAUCCUCAAUUUUCUCGCUCAAUCGUCCAGAUAGCUCUCCAAUUUACCGCUCUCCAAUUUAUCGAUUCCUAAAGUAACCGCCUACUAUCCUAUACAUCAUUUGCUGGAGUUUUAGGUUUUUUGGCGCCUAUUCUUAUCAUCACUUAUGCUAUGUAAGUAUUUAAUGUAGCAUCUUCUCAUCUUGUCAAUCACUUCUAAUUUUAUCAGGUACGAGUCUUUGUCGACCUAAAUUGUUAAUAUUAGUAUAUUCUUGUUAUUUUCACUAUGGGUUAAUUUUACAUAUGUGUGUUGUUUGUGUUAUUUAUACUUUGCAGCUUGUCAAUUCUGCAACUCUUAAUUUAAAGGCAUGAAAACUUGUGGGAUAUAUCUUUUUCGUUUGAGUUUUGAUCACUCAUCGGUCACCAGUUCCUAAGUAUAUGUUAGUGAGAACUCUACCAAAAUCAUAAGGUUAAUGGAAGUACACUAGACCUGUUUAGCAAGUUGUCGGAUACAACAAACGCUCAGUUAUCAGUUUCAAGUUGUCGGAUAAAACAAACGCUCAGUUAUCAGUUUCAGAAUGACCAAAACAAAAUGAUAGAACACUCUGAACAUCAAAGGAAAUUUACUAUUAGAAGGAAAUACAAAGAUUUAUGAAGUACGACUUCAAAUUAUGUAAAAAGUAAUUAUCAAGUGGUUGUGGUGGUUUUCAAUUUUUUCCAAACUUAAAAGUGUUGCGAUUUUAUUCCAGACUUCCUCGGCCACUUCUAGGCUAAUUAUCUCACUCUGGUUCUGUACUCUUGUUUAGUUAAAUAAUAUGCAAUUUGAUUAGUAGAAUUUUAUACAAAUUCAUAAUAAAUAUUGAUAAAAAAUCAUGCUAUAUAUGUAAUCUAAAGAGAAGUAUUCACUUAAAGGUUCUGAUGAAUUAAGAAAAAGUAUAUUUUAUGACAAUUAUGCUUUGUAUUAGGAUAUAGUUAUUAAUAUAUAUCCAACGUGUUUAUUGGAGACUCUUUCUGUUGAAUGCUUUUUUUAGAUGAAACGUUCGUUUACUUUCAUAUAUAUAUAUAUAUAUAUAUAUAUAUAUAUAUAUAUAUAUAUAUAUAUAUAACAUAUAUUAUCUAUAAAUAUUUCGUGUACUUUCGUGUAUUUCGUGGAAAUGAAUGGCAUAAUAAAACAUACCUUCGUCGCCCCUGUCCAUGUCAGAUAUCAAUAGGUGCACAUUGGCCUUCGUUUGGAAGCCAAUCAUUUGAACUCUUUCGUAUGUUUGAGUGAGUAAAUUGACCAUAUCAUUGUUCUCCUUCUCCUUCUCUCUCUCCAUGACUUUGUAAAUUAAAGGCAUGAUACCCAUCAAUUCAGGAUACAUGCGCCGCUCAUAAAAUGAUUUUCUUUCAAAUGUCAAUUCAAACAAACGUCCUAUCAAUUCAGGAAACAUGCGCCACACGCGCGGGCCAUAACCUGGAUUUUUUGCUAAUAUCAAUUUAACUAAGUCCAAAUGAUUUCCCUCUACUGCCAGUUCUAAAAUCAUACGUCCCUUCUCAUCAGUCCUAUUAAAGAACUGCAUUAACCUUUGAUCUCUCUCGUCUGAGGUCCCAUGCUUAUUUGCAUGUUUGACCGCUUUAAUGAUUAACUUAAUCACAGCCGUACCUUCUUCUUCUGCGCCUGCUAGGAAAGUACUGAUAAUAUUAUAAGAAAAUCUCCCUUUUGACAUAUUUGUAGCAAAUAUUUAAGAUAUUAUAAAAUUUAUUAUUAUGAUGCUGAAAUAUUAUACUGUUUGUUAUUAUAUAUUAGACUUAAUGACCUUUUAGCCCUUGAAGUUUGGGUGGAAGUUCCGAUGCGGUCUCGAAGUUUAAAAACAUACCGUUCGACCCUCAAAGUAUCUUUGUCGUACCUUUUAGCCCUUAUGGCGUAUACCGGUAUAUAAUGGGGUAGACAAAGUUGACAUUUCACACGUGAGGGUUAAAAGGGGAAUUAAACAUUAAGGGUUAAAAUGAACAUCUAAUGUAUUUUAAUGUAUUCUUUAGAGUAGACAAAGUUGACAUUUCACACGUGAGGGUUAAAAGGGGAAUUAAACAUUAAGGGUUAAAAUGAACAUCUAAUGUAUUUUAAUGUAUUCUUUAGAGGUAAAAAGGAACGAGAUGUAUACUUUAAGGGUUAAAAGGUAUGCCCAAACUUUACCCUGAAUAUGAAUUGUCAAGUUUAUCCCCCGAUUUAUACCAGUAUUUUUAAAAAGGGCUAAAAGAUACGAUAAAGACACUUUGAGGGUCAAAAGGUACGUUUUUAAACUUCGAAGCCGCAUCGGAACUUCCACCUAUACAUCAGAACUUCCACCCAUACUUCGAGACCUAAAAGGUCAUUAAGCCUAUAUACUAAGUAUAACGAGUUUAGUCCAAGGUACAUGUUGAAAGUCGCAUUGUAUAGAAAGCGCAACACACAAAGGUGUUUAUGAGUGUUUUCUAUUUUGAUUUUAUCAGAAACAUACAUUUAUAUAUGUAUUAGGACUGGUGACAAAAUAAAAAUAAUAUUGGACGACCGUUAUGUUCUAAACACAGGGAGCUAUCUAUCAUAAACGUAAACAUUAUAAAAGAACUCUAUAUAUACCUCUAUAUCAUCAAAAAAACAAAAAAAAGAAGUCUCUUAAAGCAUAUUAAAUUGUUCUAUACAACAUAUAUCCCACAUACCUUUGUCGAGAUUGUCGAUAAGAAUAUGUAAAACAGUGGUAGUACCACCAGGACCAUCCAAAUUAAGUGGAGGGGUGCAAGUUGUAGAGAUCAUCUUCACCAUAUCAUAGUACCCUCUUUCGGCAGCUAUGUAGAUUGCUGUUUCCCCUUCACUGUUCCGUGUAUGUGAAUCACUUGGAUCGGCCUCCACUAUUAGCUUAACAAUGGCCACAUUGCCCUUCUUAACUGCUUUAUGUAAGGCAGUCUCCAUCAUAUUAUCAGCUUGCCUAAGAAAAGCUUGAAAUGAAGUAACCGCAUCAUCAUCAUCUAAAGAAGGAGGCGGCAAAUGUUUAGCAGCAUUAAUGAGGAUCUCAGCCACUUCUGUGUGUCCUUCAUACGAUGCCAAGUGAAGUGCAGUCUGUUUAUAUCUGUUAAGCUUCACCAAAAGAUUUUUGUGUGCAAAAUCCUUUAAUAUAAAUUGCACGUGUUCUGUAUUUCCCAUUUUGGAUUCAGUGUGAAGGAUAGUUUCUUCAAAGUAUCCGUCCAGCUUAUCAGCAUGCAUCUCCAAUGCAGCUAUGGCAUCAGCAUCUCCGGCAAUGGCAUCUGAAUACAGAACAUCUUUGUGCAUAAUUUUGUAGAGGGUUCCACCUGGGCUUUCAGCUAUAUUGAUAAACAUGUGUCAAAUCGUGUGUAUUUAAGGAAUCAUCAUGACAUUGAAUAUAUGGUCAAAAAGAAAUUUAACAUAAAAGGAACUAAAUAUAGUUUAAUUAACAAAAGGGUAUGCAGGCCUGUAUAGUAUAUAUAUGUCUAACAUUAAAAAGAAAGAGGCAAGAGACAGAGUCUUUAUAAGGCAUACCUUGGUCAAAAUUUUUGUUACGCACAACACUACUACAAUCAGGUCCGAGCAAAGAUGGAGCAGUGCAAGUUGUAGAGAUGAUCUCUGCUAUAUCAUUGAACCCUUUCUCCACUGCUAUGUACAUCGGUGUUUUGCCUUCAUCAUUUUGGGUAUGUGUAUGACUUGGAUCGGCCUCUACUAAUAGCUUAACAAUAGGACCGUGCCCUUUCUUAACUGCUGCAUGUAAGGCAGUGUCCUCAUAUAGAUCAGAUUGCCUAAGAAAAGCUUGAAUUGAAGUACGUGGAUUUUUAUGAGUGUUAUCAUUAUCUGAAGAAGGAUACAAAUGUCUAGCCACAUCGAUGAGGAUCUCAGCCACUUCAGUGUGUCCAUUAUUUGCUGCCAAGUGAAGUGCGGUAUGUUCAUCUGAAUCAAGCGGGGAUAAAAGAUACUUCUUUGCAAACUCCUUCAAAAUAAAUCGCACACGUUCCGUAUAUCCAUUUUGAGAUUCAACGUGAAGGAUAGUUUCUUCACCUUCGUUCGGUAUAUCAGCUUCUGUCUCCAAUUUAGCUAUGGCAUCAGCAUCUCCCGCAAUGGCAGCCACGAAGAAAGCAUAUCUAUCCAUAAUUUUAAAUAGAGUUCCACCAGGGCUCUUACCUGUAAUGUGUGUAUAUGUCAAAAAACUUCUAGCAAACAAGGUAAAGGAUUCAGAAUAAAAAAAAAAAAGAAUUACCAGAAGAGUCUUUAAAUAGCAUACCUUGCUCGAGAUUGUUAAUACGCACUACCGUACUACCAUCUGGUCCGUCCAAAGACGGAGCUGUGCAAGUUGUAGAGAUUAUUUCUGCUAUACCGUUGAACCCUUUGUCCACAGCUAUAUACAUUGGUGUUUUACCUUCAUUGUUUUGUGUAUGUGUAUCACUUGGAUCGGCCUCUACUAACAGCUUAACAAUUUCUUCUUUAUUAUGUAUGACUGCUAUAUGUAAGGCAGUGUCCUUAUCUUUGUCACCAAGCCUAAGAAAAGCUUGAAAAGAAGUAAUUGGAUAAUAAUCUUCUGAAAAAGGUAAAUUUUUAGCUGCAUCAAUGAGGACCUUCGCCACUUCAGUGUGUCCAUAAUAUGCAGCCCAGGUUAGUGCAGUCUCCAUUUGAUCAUCCUGCUUCACUAAAAGGUUUUUGUGUGCAAAUCCCCUCAAAAUGAAGCGCACAUGUUCUGUAUUUCCUUCUCUGGAUUCAAUGUGAAGGAUAGUUCUGUCAUUUAUGUCCAGCUUAUCAGCAUGCAUCUCCAAUGCAGCUAUGGCAUCAGCAUCUCCGGCAAUGGCAGCUGCAUACAGAGCAUCUUUGCGCAUAAUUUUAUAGAGGAUUCCACCUGGGAUUUUAGCUAUAUAGAUAAACAUGUGUCAAAUCGUGUGUAUUUAACGAAUCAUCAUGACUGAAUAUAGUUUAAUUAACAAAUGGGUAUGCAUGCCUGUAUAGUAUAUAUGUCCAACAUUAAAAAAAAAAAAAGGCAAGAGACAGAGUCUUUAUAAGGCAUACCUUGGUCGAAAUUCUUGUUAAGCACAACACUACUACAAUCAGGUCCGAGCAAAGAUGGAGCACUGCAAGUUGUAGAAAUCAUCUCUGCUAUAUCAUUGAACCCUUUCUCCACUGCUAUGUACAUUGGUGUUUUGCCUUCAUCAUUUUGAAUAUGUGUAUCACUUGGAUCGGCCUCUACUAAUAGCUUAACAAUAGGAGCUUGCCCUUUCAAAACUGCUGCAUGUAAGGCAGUGUCCUCAUUCAGAUCAGGUUGCCUAAGAAACGCUUGAAAAGAAGUAACUGGUUUAUCACGAGUAUUAUCAUCAUCUGAAGGAGGCAAAUGUCUAGCUGCAUCGAUGAGGAUCUCAGCCAAUUCAGCGUGUCCAUUUAUUGCUGCCAAGUGAAGUGCAGUUUGUUCCUCUGAUGUGAUCAACGUAGCCAAAAGAUUUUUUUUUGCAAACUCCCUCAAAAUAACUCGCACACGUUCUGCAUAUUUAUUUUGAGAUUCAACGUGAAGGAUAGUUUCUUCCCCUCGGUUGAAUAUAUCAGCUUGCACUUCCAAAUUAUGAAUUGCAUCAGCAUCUCCUUCAAUGGCGGCCACAUAAAAAGCGUAUCUAUCCAUAAUUUUGUAUGCUGUUCCCCCAUGGCUCUUACCUAUAUGUGUGCAUAUGUGAAGAAACUUUUAGCAAAAAAGAUAAAUGAUUAAGCUUAAAAGUUGCAAAGACCUACCAAAAGAGUGUUUAAAGAGCAUACCUUGGUCCUGAUUUUUAAUACGCACCACAGUACUACCAUGAGGCCCGAGCAAAGAUGGAGCAGUGCAAGUUUUAAAGAUAAUCUCUGCUAUAUCGCUGAGCCCUUGUUCCACAGCUAUGUACAUUGGUGUUUUACCCUCAUAGUUUUGAAUAUGUGUAUCAGUCGGGUCAGCCUCUACUAGUAGCUUAACAAUAUCCAGGUGACCAUACUUGACUGCUGCAUGUAAAGCGGUGUCCAUAUCUUUAUCACCUUGCCUGAGAAAAGCUUGAAAAGAAGUAACUGAAUUAUCAUCAUUAUCUGGAGGAGGAGGCAAAUGGCGAGCUGCAUCAAUGAGGACCUGAGCCACUUGGGUGUGUCCUCCUCGAUAUAUAGCCAAGUGAAGUGCUGAAUGCUUAUAUCUACUAAGCUUAGUUAAAAGAUUUUUGUGUGCAAAUUCCCUCAAAAUAAAUCUCACACGUUCUGUAUUUCCCUUCUGUGAUUGCAGGUGAAGGAUGGUUUCUUCAUCUUUGAACAGUGUAUCAGCUUCCAUCUCCAAUUUGGCAGUGGCAUCAGUAUCUCCGGCCAUGGCGGCAUCGAACAGAGUGUCAAGAUCCAUAACUAUAUUUUGCUCUGCCUGUUGGAAUUUCUGGGAUUAAUACAACAAACUUGCUAGCCUCUUUCAUGAGCUAGUUAUACACGGUGCUGAUGUAAUUUGGUUGUUGGACUUGGUAAUGAUGAUGCAUUAUAAUUUUGAAAACCAAAAAACAAUAAUGGUUAAGUUGGUCGAGAGUCGAGACUUUAAACUUUAAUCUCCAUCUUUAGAUUCUUAAUCGUAUAGAAGCGUACCGACUGAGUGAGUUCAUUUAUGAUUAGUUAAAUUUCUGAGACCACUCUUUCAUGAACUGUAAAUUAUUAUAUGUCAUACUAGUAAGUGGCAAUUCACUGAUUCACAAUUACCUGCUGGUUCUGAAAACAUGUAGCUCCUCUUACACUGGUUAGUGGUAUUUUAUUUUGUAGCCGAUUUUUAAACCACAAACCAGCCAACGAUGGAGGCGUUAGAUAACCUUUGUAUUUUCUUAUGAUUUUUUAAAUGAGAACCGCAUUGUUACUAAACACAACAACCCAUUUACAUCAAGAAAACAUAUAGUCCCCCACAGAAGGACCAACUUUGAAAAGUUACAUCACAGUUGCAACAAAUGAUACAGGAAAUUAAAGCGGACUCAUAUAAGGGCCGGUUACAUGUACACAAUUGUACAGGAAAGGUAGGUGUACACCAUCAGUGACUUGAAGUUACUAAUGGUGUGCAUUAAAUGAAGUACAUCAGUGACAUGAUCUUCCGGACGCAUGAAAAAAAUAUUAAAUAGCUACGUUAGUGACUUCAAGUCACUAAUCAGUGACUGGAAGUCAGUGAUGUUGAGUGAAAAACCUAAAAUGUCGGUAUUAUCCUUCUCACCUUUAGUGACAUGAGAUCACUGAUGUUGCAUUUAAUUUACAUCAGCCAACAACGUACCCCCAACUACCAAGUAAAAAAAUUAUAAAUAAGGUCACUGAUGAAAUGAAAUCGUUAUAUUAGCUCCCAAGACUAGAGCGGUGGAAAAAUUUUUAAGUAAAGAACAUCAGUGAUUUCAAGUCACUGUUAUAGUUCUGGGGAUAUCCGUGACCUUAAGUCACUGAUGAAAACGUUACAGUAGCUCCCCAAAACUAGAGGGCUGGAAAAAAUUCUAAGUCAAAAACAUCAGUGACUUGAAGUCACUAAUGUAAUUAUGGGGAUAUUCGUAACCUUAAGUCACUGAUGAAAACGUUAAAGUAGCUCCCCAAAACUAGAGGGCUGGAAAAUUUAAGUAAAGAACAUUAGUGAGCUGAAGUCACUAAUGCGUAAUCUUGGAAAAAAUUUUAAGUAAAGAAAAUCAGUAACUUCAAGUCACUGUUGUAAUUUUGGAGAUUGAUUUAGAAGUUUGGAAAGAAUCUCAAGUAACAAAUAAGCGACACGGGAAAAAAAAUUCCAAGUAAAUACUAGUGACUUCAAGUCACUGACAUGAUUCUAAGUAAAACUCAAAAAGAUGUUGAUUUUUGUUUAGCAUUUGAUUAACAUAAGGUAUAGGAGCUUCGUUAUAUCUAUAAUUAACGAAAAAAACUAAGUCCGUGAUAUUUUAAGAACAAUAAUAAAAUGAAAAGGAUGGAAUCUUGCACAAGUUCAACACAACACAUAUUAUCUUUUCAAUUUAGAUGAUUAUUUUGCUUGACAUAAAAACUCAUCACUUAUAAUUAAUAAUAUAAUUUAUAUUUUUUAUUAUCACCCAGACAUAUUUUUGAAAAAUAAUUUUACUUACAAAUAACCAAAAUACAAGUCAAACCACUAGUUGACUGUUAAAAUAUCAAACGAAAAAAAAUUUAUUUAUUUCUAAAACUUUUUUAAUACCAUCAAAAUAUAUAAACUUUGACAUCCGUGCGGUUGGACCAUCGAGAUAUAUCUUCAAAAAAAUUUAAACGAUAAUACAUGAUAAAAUACUACUUACAUAUACAAGUCAAACCACUGGUUGACUGUUAAGAUUUCAAACGGAGAAUGGUUAUUUUUUUCUGAAACUUUUUUAAUAUCAUCAAAAUAUAUAGACUUUGACAUCCGUACGGUUGGAUCGUCGAGAAAUAUUUUCAAAAAAAUAGAAACACAAAUACAUGAUGAAUGUCAAGUUACUAGUACAAGUCAAACCACUAGUUGACUGCUAAACUCUCCAUUCAAAUAAAAUUAUUUUUUUUUUGAAAAUUUUUAAUAUCACAAAAGAUAUAAAUCUUCACAUCCGUACGGUUGGAUCAUCCAGAAAUAUUUUUAAAAAAAUAUAAGCUUUAAUACAUGAUAAAACACUAGAUGCUAGUACAAGUCAAACCACUAGUUGACUGCUAAACUCUCCAUCCAAAUAAAAUUAUUUUUUUCUGAAUUUUUUUUAAUAUCAUCAAAAUAUAUAUAUCUUGACAUCCGUACGGUUGGAUCAUCCAAAAAUAUUUUUAAAAAAAUGUAAGCUGUAAUACAUGAUAAAACACUAGAUGCUUCUACAAGUCAAACCACUAGUUGACUGCUAAACUCUCCAUCCAAAUAAAAUUAUUCUUUUCUGAAACUUUUUUAAUAUCAUCAAAAUAUAUAAAUCUUCACAUCCGUACGGUUGGAUCAUCCAGAAAUAUUUUUUAAAAAAUGUAAGAUGUAAUACAUGAUAAAACACUAGAUGCAGUACAAGUCAAACCACUAGUUGACUGCUAAACUCUCCAUCCAAAUAAAAUUAUUUUUUUCUGAAACUUUUUUAAUAUCAUCAAAAUAUAUAAAUCUUCACAUCCGUACGGUUGGAUCAUCUAGAAAUAUUUUAUAAAAAAUGUAAGAUGUAAUACAUGAUAAAACACUAGAUGCUAGUACAAAUCAAACCACUAGUUGACGGCUAAACUCUCCAUCCAAAUAUAAUUAUUUUUCUCUGAAACUUUUUUAAUACCAUCAAAAUAUAUAAAUCUUCACAUCCGUACGGAUGGAUCAUCCAGAAAUAUUUUUUAAAAAAUGUAAGCUAUAAUACAUGAUAAAACACCAGAUGCUAGUACAAGUCAAACCACUAGUUAACUACUAAACUCUCCAUCCAAAUAAAAUUAUUUUUUCUGAAAUUUUUUUAAUAUCAUCAAAAUAUAUAAAUUUUGACAUCCGUACGGUUGGGUCAUCCAGAAAUAUUUUUUAAAAAAUGUAAGCAGUAAUGCAUGAUAAAACACUAGAUGCUUCCACAAGUCAAACCAAUAGUUGACUGCUAAACUCUCCAUCCAAAUAAAAUUAUAAUUUUCUGAAACUUAUUUAAUAUUAUCAAAAUAUAUAAAUAUUCACAUCCGUACGGUUGGAUCAUCCAGAAAUAUUUUUUAUAAAAUAUAAGCUGUAAUACAUGAUAAAACACUAGAUGCUAGUACAAGUCAAACCACUAGUUGACUGCUAAACUCUCCAUCCAAAUAAAAUUAUUUUUUAUAUCAUCAAAAUAUAUAAAUCUCCACAUCCGUACGGUUGGAUCAUCCAGAAAUAUUUUUUAAAAAAUGUAAGCAGUAAUACAUGAUAAAACACUAGAUGUUAGUAUAACUCAAACCACUAGCUGACUGCUAAACUCUACAUCGAAAAAAAAAAAUUUUAAAUGAAACUUUUGUUAUAUCAUCAAAAUCUAUAAAUCUUCACAUCCGUACGGUUGGAUCAUCUAGAAAUAUUUUUUAUAAAAUGUAAGCAGUAAUACAUGAUAAAACACUAGAUGCAAGUACAAGUGAAACCACAAGUUUACUGCUAAACUGUCCAUCCAAAUAAAAUUAUUUUUUCCGAAACUUUUUUAGUAUCAUCAAAAUAUAUAAAUCUUCACAUCCGUACGGUUGGAUCAUCCAGACAUAUUUUUUUAAAAAUGUAAGCAGUAAUACAUGAUAAAACACUAGAUGCAAGUACAAGUCAAACCACAAGUUGACUGCUAAACUGUCCAUCCAAAUAAAAUUAUUUUUUUCUGAAACUUUUUUAAUAUCAUCAAAAUAUAUAAAUCUUUAAAUCCGUAUGGUUGGAUCAUCGAAAAAUAUUUUUUAAAAAAUGUAAGCAGUAAUACAUGAUAAAACUCUAGAUGCUAGUACAAGUCAAACGACUCAAACCAUUAGUUGACUGCUAAACUCUUCAUCCAAAUAAAAUUAUUUUUUUCUGAAACCCUUAUAAUAUCAUCAAAAUAUAUAAAUCUUCUCAUCUGUACGGUUGGAUUAUCCAGAAAUAUUUUUUUAAAAAUGUAAGCAGUAAUACAUGAUAAAACACUAGAUGAAACUCCUAGUCAAACCACUAGUUGAGACAAAUCUCUCCAUCCAAAUAAAAUUAUUUUUUCUGAAACUUUUUUAGUAUCAUCAAAAUAUAUAAAUCUUCACAUCCGUACGGUUGGAUUAUCUAGAAAUAUUUUUUAUAAAAUGUAAGCCGUAAUACAUGAUAAAACACUAGAUCCUAGUACAAGUCAAACCACUAGUCCUAAACUCUCCAUCCAAAUUUAAUUAUAUUUUAUGAAAUUUUUUUUAUAUCAUCAAAAUAUAUAAAUCUUUACAUCUGUACGGUUGGAUCAUCCAAAAAUAUUUUUAAAAAAUGUAAGCAGUAAUGCAUGAUAAAACACUAGAUGCUAGUACAAGUCAAACCACUAGUUGACUGCUAAACUCUCCAUCCAAAUAAAAUUAUUUUUUUCUGAAACUCUUAUAAUAUCAUCAAAAUAUAUAAAUCUUCUCAUCUGUACGGUUGGAUUAUCCAGAAAUAUUUUUUAAAAAAUGUAAGCAGUAAUACAUGAUAAAACACUAGAUGCUACUCCCAGUCAAACCACUAGUUGAGACAAAUCUCUCCAUCCAAAUAAAAUUGUUUUUUUCUGAAACUUUUUUAGUAUCAUCAAAAUAUAUGAAUCUUCACAUCCGUACGGUUGGAUUAUCCAAAAAUAUUUUUUAUAAAAUGUAAGCCGUAAUACAUGAUAAAACACUAGAUCCUAGUACAAGUCAAACCACUAGUUGACUGCUAAACUCUCCUUCCAAAUUUAAUUAUAUUUUAUGAAACUUUUUUUAUAUAUUAUCAAAAUAUAUAAAUCUCCACAUCCGUACGGUUGUAUCAUCUAGAAAUAUUUUUUUUUAAAUGUAAGUAGUAAUACAUGAUAAAACACUAAAUGCUAGUACAAGUCAAACCAAUAGUUGACUGCUAAUCUCUUCAACAAAAUAAAAUUAUUUUUUUAUGAAACAUUUUUAAUAUCAUCAAAAUAUUUCUAAAAAUAUGUCCAGAAAUAUGUAAGCAGUAAUACAUGAUAUUUCUAAAAAUAUGUCCGUACGGUUGGAUCAUCCAGAAAUAUUUCUAAAAAUAUGUAAGCAGUAAUACAUGAUAAAACACUAGAUACUAGUACAACUCAAAACACUAGUUGACUGCUGAAAUCUCAAUCGAAAUAUAAUUAUUUUUUCUUGAAACUUCUUCUUAAUUAGCAUCAAAAUAUAUACAUCUUCACAUCCGUACGGUUAGAUCAUUGAUCAAUAUUUUUUAAAAAAUGUAAAGAGCAAUACAUGAUAAAGUACACGAUAAUAGUACAAGUCAAACAAACCACUACUUGACUGCUAAAAUCUCAAUACAAAUAGAGUUUUUUUUUUCUUUCUGAAAUUCAUAUAAUAUCACAGAUACAUUUAGACCUUAACAUCCGUAAGUUUGGAUCAUUUAGUAAAACUGAUACAUUUAGACCUUAACAUCCGUAAGUUUGGAUCAUUUAGUAAAAAUGUAAAUAAAUUGUACACAUCAGGGACUUGAACUCACUGUUGUUAUUAAUGUAUACACCAUCAGGGACUUGAACUCACUGUUGUUAUUAAUGCGGUAAGGGUAUGAUAGGAAAAUGAAUUAUGGAGGGGACAUCAGUGAUAUAAAGUCACUGAUCAGUGACUUUAAGUCACUGAUGUACGCAACCAGCACCGUAGAUCUCAGCCAACCAACGAUCACGAUUUGUUGGUUGUAAAAGUGGGCUGUACAAUUGUGUACAUUUAAUUUCCCCCCUCAUAUAAUUGUUGUAGACAGAGAAAGGUGCAAUGCACAUGGUGAUAUUUGGUUAUCUUUAUUGAGAGCCACUCCUUGUUCUCGUACAGUCGUACUACCUGAAUUAUGUAGCCCUACUCAUUAAAGUGUGACUACUUUACUGUAAAUUCUGAAUACUCCCAACUACAUAUGCAGAGUGUGUAUUAUAAUGUUGUAUGCACCCCUUCCCAACAAUCAGGACUCGGCAAUUUCCCUCGAUGAUUAGGAAUCUGAUUAAGCCAAUACUCAUGUUGUUCAAAUGAACAACACGUGAAUAAUAAUGCUAAAAUUCAUCAUUGUAACACCAUCAAGGAGUGUGGAGACUUUAGUUCAGUUUAUAAGCAUAAGUACUACUACUAAUUGCACCAACAAAUCAUCAUCUUUUGGGGGCCAGUGGUGGGCUUGUGGAUUACCCAAGUUGUUGCAGUUGGGCCAGUAUAUUUCGGCUUAUUUUCAGAUUCAGAAUUCAGAACUUGACCCGAUUUUCGGAAAAAGACUCGGGAUUUGACCCGGGUUAUCACAAUCAUGCUCCAUAUGAUCCCUUAGAGAGAUGUUGGUUGAUCCAAGGCCGUUGUGCAAUGGAUCAGAAUAUCUAUCACAGAGCAAGUCCAGAUAUUUUUAUCAAAUUUCUUAGUUUAUAUAGAUGUUUAUGGCAUAUCAAUCUGAGCAGGAUCAUCUUCAUCUGUGAUGAUUAGCAACUUUCUAAACUUCAUUUAAUCUAAACUUCAUCUAGCACUUUCAUCAUUUGUAAUAAGAUACAAAGUGUAUGGAACCGGACAAAGUACUGGUGCACAUUCAAUGUAUUACAACACAAUUUCCAUUUCCUAUUGAUGAUUGUAGGGACAGAGUGACAAUUAUUACAUGAUCUCUAAAUUAUUGUAUUCUGAUUUAUUGUAUGUCAUUCUGCCAAGCUGCAAUUGGCUACUCCCUCUGUCCCACUCAUUUCCUUACAUUAUUUUUCGGCAUGUUUUUUCACACUCGUUUAAAGUUUAGUUCUAUAAUAUAUUUUUUAAAUUUUUUUUCUCUGAAUAAAAAUUUGAUAUUUAAACUUAUAUUCAGAAAAAGAAAAAUUUAGAAAAAGUUAUACAACUAUACUUUAUAUGAGCCUUAAAAUACGUGCAAACAGUGAACGUCGGGGACGGAGGGAUUAUUUCACAACGGAUUUCUGAUUUGUCUAUGGGUACACACUAACAACUUUUUACAUAGGUGUUACAUUUCUAUUAGUAGUUACUAUCUUAAUAAUAAUAAUAAUAAUAAUAAUGCCCCCGCAUGCACAAAAAUCACACCAAUCAAAAUCCUCCACCUAAAUUAAAAGUUGUUCUUAGUGUGUGCCCACGGGAAAGACCCAUUUCACAAAUAACCCGUUCUAAAAACGUCUUGCUCCUCUUUCAAUCCUGUGCCCAACAGCCAAUAUACAUCAAGAUUAGCUACAUAAAAAGUCCAACAUAAGGACCUAGUUUGAAAUGUCGCAUCACGAAAUAUAUAUAAGAACUCGUAACAUAUACAUACACUGAUCAACACUUUACUGUGUGUGGAGUGACAAGCAAAUAAUGGAGUCCAUUAUUGAUACCCUCCAUGUUAAAUAAAUGUUGAACUAUAGUGUAUAUGCUUCCCCUUCCAAUAAUAAGGAGUAAGUUUCUUCUAUUAAUCCAGUGAUUCGAUGAACAUAUAUAUGUAGCCAGGAGCCGUGGUAGAAAAAUAUAUAGUAGUUAUUGAUCUAGAUGCUUUGUAUGAUGCUGCUAUUACAGGAGAUGCUGAUGCUCUAGCUAAAUUAUAAUAUCAUAUUGCAGGAGAAUGGAGAAAUAUUUAUUUUAAUAGGCCUUCCAGAUCAGAGAAUUACAUAACUAAAAAUUAAAUAAACAAAAUUUUCAGAUUAUCCUAUACAAUCUGUUACAUAUUUUUGAUAGGUCAUCAUGUGUUACCUAUUUCCGGAAUGGAUAACUUUUUUUCAAUAUGUAAGAGCAUCUCUAAUAACAUUCUACAAUCAUUGGCUAAAUCGGAUCGGUAAGACAUUAUGUAAAAUUUGCGUGUAAGAUAUUGUGUUUCAAUGGUAUUGGCUAUGAUUUGAAAAUAGUAUGUUAUUAAUAUUUAGAUUGUUAUAAAUAGAAUAUAUCGAUUUGAUAUGAUAAUAAAUAAGGGCAAAAAGGUACGACAAAGAUACUUUGAGGGUCGAAAGGUACGUUUUUAAACUUCGAGGCCGCAUCGGAACUUCCACUCAAAUUUCAAGGGCUAAAAGGUCAUUAAGCCAUUUUUGAACGGAUAUUGUAAUCAUGAUUCACAUGUUCCCCUAGCUUGAUUAUAUAUUAAUGCGCUGUACUGUACAAAAAUUUGUUCAUAUUACAUGUAAUGGUAUUUAUAGAUUGCCUGCAAAGAUUCAUUUUGCAUUUAUAUGAAAUUGUAACACAAGCUAAAUGACAUUGAUUCGCAGUUUAAACAAUUAACUAAAAUUAGCUGCAGAUAGAUUGAUUGAGUAGAGUACUUGAUAUCUCAAGGCCUCACUGUAGUAAAGAAUUCAGAGAACUAGAUCAAUCGUCUGGGACUACUCGUCGUGCAUAAAACAAACAUAACCUACAGAUUUAGCCGUGUAAUCCUGCAAUGAGAAAUGUUUUAAUAUCUGAAAUUUCUCAGAACAGAAUAUGUGUUAACACGAUACAAUAGAUGUGGAGAAGUCUAAGUUAUUGAUUAUAAUUUACUAGUUCAAGAAUUAGGAGGAAAGGUAAAAAAAUUAUUACAUGUCUUAGUACAGAUUUAGUUGAUAUUUACAUACACCAACAAAAAUCUACAGCAAUUACAAUCCGAGCCGAAGUUGAUAGGUCGAAAUCUGUUUUUUCUCAAUGGCUAAUUCAAAUAGAAUUCAUUAAUCAGCUUCUGCAAAAAAGACAAAUAUUAAGCGAGUAAAGUUCCAUCUUUAGACAAGUGGCGUCAAGACUAUUGCAUAGUUGUUUAUGGUAGUGAAAGUGUAACUUCCCACCAUUUGAACUGUUCUGUAAUUGGAAACAUAUGUCAAGACCAAACUACAGAAAAAAAUUGUAACAGGAUGCAAUCUCAGAGCACAACAGUUUAAUCAAUGUCGACAACUAUGGAAUACUUGGCACCAUUUACCACUUUAAGCCUUUCAUAGAAAUCUGGGGGCAUCACUUCAACUCGUAAUUCUUCCAGGGAGUGGAGAAACUUGAUUCCUUCUGGAAGCUCCUUCAGCUUCAGACAGUUCCUAAUCAUCAAAUGUGACAGAACAGGCAUGCUGUGCUCCUCCACCCUCCAUUUCACCAAGUUGGGAAGAUUCCUCAGUACAAGACGGGUAAGUUUUGGGAAUCCCGUGGCUGAACACACCAGUUCGCGCCCCAUGAAUGCUUUUCUGUGUAUUAACAGCUCGCGCAGUGUAUGAAUUUUCUCCAGUACUGGCAUUGGAUCUUCCUCUAGGAAUGACAGCAUCAGAUGUAAGCGCGUGAUAUGAAUUAAGGACAGAUCAAUAGGAGCGUCGUGAAGUUGUUGCUGCUCGAAUAAUUGAGCCAGCUCUGGCAGUUGGCCAAUUACUUUUAAUUCCUGAAGGUUGUAUCUAUGAUCUGACAACAACUUCCUCAAGAUGUCUGGACCAUUUCGCGACCCUAGAUCACAUUGACUGAUAGUAAGGACCAAGUACUGGAGACAUGAAGUCGAUGACAAGGCUAUAGCUGUUAAGCAUUUCAUCACCUCCUCCACAUCAUCAUAACUAUCAUCUACUCUUAAGGUCAGUUUCUGAAGACCGGUUAAUUUGGGCAGAUCCUUAACCUCGCACCAUUGAGUAUUCACGUUCUCCAGUGUCUCCAACUUGUUCAAGCCAUGAAAGCGCAUCUUUGAAUUUUUCCCCAGGCUGUGAACUUUCCAAUCUGGUAGAUACAAAUGGCGCAGACGUCCCAGCUUGCCCAUAAUAUUUCUUGACAGCCAUGGUGGAAAAAGUACAUCAUUUCGUACGUCUAAUUUGAGUGUUUGGAGGAGCACCAGAUUUUGUAUCGAUGGCAAAAGCAAUAAAUUAGUCUUCCUUACACUCAGGUACCGCAAGUAAACAAGGCUGCCUAAUACUCUGCCCAGAUUAAUACGGAAAAGGGUACCAGAAACAGUUUGUUUAUCAAACUGGACUUCUUCCAAAGCAAACACUCUUAGUAGCCUAAAAUUAGCAACAUCUGACGACAACACUGGUGGCACACUUCUGGUCUUAAACUCGUUGAAUAGUAACAUUGAACGAUAUCGUUGCUGGUUGGCUUUCUUGCCAAAGGAGGGAUUUGCUUGUUUGCUUGUAUAUUCCUCGUCAAAAUAAACAACAAGCUGUCUAGUGGCAGCAGCCCUCGAGCCCACAGAAGCAUUCAAAUGAGAAUGAUUUUUUUCUCGAAGAUCAAUAACUUUGUAUAAAUCCUCCUCUUUUGCUUGGCUUAGGGAGAGGUCUCUCAUAAGAUCAUGAAGAGAACAAGACUUAAACUUUGUAAGCGAUGACUCGAUAUCCUUAUAUUUCACUUGAACCAUACUUCUAUGGACCAGUUCCCCCAAGUACGAUUCAGCCACUUGCAUCACUGUUUCUCCAUUCUUUUUGUCACUUGACAGUACCAUUCCUUCUGCGAUCCAUAACUGAUAUAAAGUCUCUACUUCUAUCCAUUCAUCUUCGUUAAAUUUACCUAAAUAAAGAAAGCACGGCUUCAGUUGAGGAGGCAAGUCAUUGUAACUCCAAACUAAAACCUCGUGUAAUUGAUGUUGAUAGACUUCUCCCAGUUCUUUGCCCCUUUCCAGAGACAACAUCGUAUCACGAUACACCUUCUCCCACUCUAUCAAGGAAGGUUUUGUCACGAGAAUUCCCCCCAACAUCACUAUAGCUAGUGGAAGACCCGCACAAUAUUCAACCAUUUCUCUCCCCAUUUCUUCCAUCCUUUUAACGUCUCUAGUAAUAUCUGUAACAAAAAUGGAAUCAUAAACUAUAAUUUCAAAAGAAUUAGAUAUCAUGCUAAAUUUUACAGCAUUAGAUUUUAAAAAUUAUUGUCGGACAUUUUACAUUAGAUUGCAGAGUAAGAGUAAUUCAUUUGUUUUUCGUAGAGCAAUAAAUUUACCUAGAGCAUCUCCACCUUUAGGAAGUGCUUUGAACCGAAGUAGCUCCCAACUUUGUUCUGCAUCUAGACAACCUGGUUCGUGAACAAAUCCUUUCGGAUGUACAUACUUAGGAACAUCAACGUUGCGACUUGUAAGCAUUAAUUUGCUUAAGCAUUUUUCAGCAGCGAAGGCCCCUUUUAUCGAAUCCCAGGCAUCUUUUGUCCAAAUGUCAUCAAGGACUAUCAAGCAUUUUUUCCUUUCCUGAACUUGUAUCAGAUUAUUCACUAGCUUGGCCUCAUCAAAACCAAGAAUUUCCUUUUCCUUCUCCGGGGUGAGACAUAUGAGAAUUCGUCGCAACACGUUCUUUGUUUGCCACUUCUGCGAUAUGGAAACCCAAGCUAAACCCGCAAAGUGAUUCUUUAUUGUGGAAUGAUUGUAAAUUUUUUGAGCCAGAGUUGUUUUGCCCAAACCUCCCAUCCCGCAAAUAGAAAUAAGCGGGUAACAAUCAUCACUUCCAUCAACCAAAUGCCUAAUCAAACUAUCAACGACUCCAUGAACUCCAAUAAAUAUGUCCGGUUCAAAAAUAGUAUGAGAGUAAAACCGCUCUAGCUUUUCGGAUGUUUGAUGUGGAGAUUUUUUUGAUUCCUCGGAUUUUAAAGUAGACCUGAUAUUAUAUUUGCCAAAACGAUCAAAGAUGAGGGACAUCUUUGUUCGCAAAAUUUUAAUUUUUUUUGUUCUACUUCUUGCGGAGGAGGAAGUGACCAGAAAACUUUCAACGACAUUCUCAGCAUCAUAGGCAAGCUCCCGAACGUCCGCAAGCAAAAUGCGGACAUCAUCUACAUGUAUCCUGGAAACCGCAUGUGGUAAGAAUGUCUUCAUCCGAAUGAGCUCGGACACCACUUGUUGAAUUUCAAUUUUUACUCCGUCAAGAAGAUGAACUUCUUCGUUCAAUAAAUCAGUAAGCCUUCCCACGACGAUGGACACAAUUGCUUCCGCCAUUUGCAAUCCUUUAGUUUUCUUCUAAUUUCACAGAAAUGUCGCUUGCUAUUGCUAUGAAGAAUUAUUCAAGAUUUUGCAGGAAAUUUACUUAAAAGGAAUUCUUCAUUAAAACUCCGUGUGAUAUAAGUCAUCAAUAAUUCAUACUAAAAAAUGCCCCUAUAAUUACAGCAAAAAAUGGAGCUGGUUGCAAUAAUAAAAUAUGUGAGAUCCACAAGUAGAGGGGCAUUAUUGCUAGUGAGAUGGACGUGAAAGUGGACUUUGUGUAUUAUACUGCCACUGCUCCACAAAAUGAAAUACUAUGAAUGAUGGUUGUUUUUUUUCUAAUUGUGAUAAUAGCUUAUGCUAUUAUUUAGCAUCGGUUUGUUUAAGAGAAGCACAAGUUGUUUCUUGUUUCUAGCUUCAUCUUUUCCUACCCCGUUUGUAAAUAAGUAGAAACAUUUUUAUGAAGUUGAGAAUGCAUACUAGUUUUUUUGUCGCAACUUCUACUUCUUUUCCAAACACUUUAUUAACUUCUAGCGACUCGGUCCUAUCACUUCUUAAGGUCAAUAGCAUAGAUCAUGACUUACAAUUCCAUUCAUUCAGAAAUUAAUCGUGCAAACGCAAUAAACAUUUACUGGAAGAGAAGAUAGCAUGUAUUCUGGUUCUGUUCUUGGUCUAAACCACCGAGUUAAACUACAUAUAUACCUAAACAAACUCACCAUAAUCAUAAGAAUAUUCCUUUUCCGGUCACAAUAUAACAUAAACAAUAUAAUUUUAUUCCUGACAAAAUAAUGAAUUCAAAGAAGGUUUUAUCUUGAUAUCAUUAUUAUAUAUAAAUUUACUAAUUACCAAUCUCAUGGAUGAAGACAGAAUGUAGACGUUAAUUAUGCACAGUUAUGGUGAGAAAAUUUUGAUUUGUUGAAUAAUAAGAAAAUUUUGAUUUGUUGAAUAUAGACAGUUACUUUUAGGUUACGAAUUCGAUUCCCUAGGCAUUUCGGGAGUAAGCGGACCACCAUACUCGGCGGUAUGAGUGUGCUAGUAUGUCUAAUUGGAUUAGUCAAGGUGCGCGCAAGUUGGCUCGGAUACCGGUUUAACAAAAAAUAUGUAAAAGAAAAAAGAAAAUUUGGAUUUCCGUUGUAAAUUAUGUACUUACGGGGGUGUAAAAGAAAAAAGAAAUUUUUUUUUUUUUUUGUGGUGAAUUAUUUUCAAGUCACUGUUACCAUCUUUUCCAUAAGAAAGAAUUACAGUUACAAUCAUUCUGAUAUUAAACUUAGACAACAGUGAAAUUAAACCUGAUGAUCAAACAGAAGGCGAUAACAAUUUCAUUUUUUUUUUUUUUUGUGGUGAAUUAUUUUCAAGUCACUGUUACCAUCUUUUCCAUAAGAAAGAAUUACAGUUACAAUCAUUCUGAUAUUAAACUUAGACAACAGUGAAAUUAAACCUGAUGAUCAAACAGAAGGCGAUAACAAUUUCCUAAGCUUAAACAAGAAUAUUUAAACCCUGUUCGGAAAAGAAAUCAACCAGACUGAUCUGACCCAUUAUCAGACUGAAAUUUGGACCCACAGAACCGAAAGCACUGCACACAAGGAAAACACAGUACAUACCCACAGCAAACACAACACAUGAAGCACAGUGAGAUUCCUAUAAAUCCCAAUCCUGUAUCAUCUCUAGUGAGGGACCUCACAUCUUUUGCUACUCCAGUAGUCUUAGUCUUCACUGCAUUUUCUUCGAGAGUUUCUGUCUCUUUUUCAUUAUCUCUGCUCAUUGGCUCCACGACUUGAUUCGCCAAUUUAGUUUCAUCGUUCUCUUGUUCCAUACUCUGAGCAACCGGGUCGAUAAGUACUUCAUUAGUAAUGAUCUUUGGUUGAGAUGAUGCUUGAUUAGUAUCAUCUGAAUUUUGCUUGGUUGAACUCUCCAGAGAUGACAUUUUAAAUUUUUAGAAAAUUUAGUGAAGCUAAGCGGAGGAGAAAUCCUGCAAGUUUUGUAGUUAUUAACAUUGUAAACCAUCAGUUUAUAUAAUAGGGAGCUAAGGUACAGGGGGUACUUUGAAUUGUUCAGAGUAUACGCAACUUUGUUUCUAGUGCUCAAACGACGUCCCGUUUUAAUACAUUUAAGUUGCAUAUUUUGUCCUGCUACAGCGUAUGAUCAACUAUUUUUACUAGUAGAAAUCAGAAUAAAAUAUAGAGCUUGUAUUCUGUUAACAAUUGAGCUGUUUGUCAAAUGCACAAUAAGAGAAGCACCACGUCCAAUUAGAACAAGCUAACAACCGCUGUUAUCUGACGUUCCUUGCUAAUGAAGUGUAUAAAUCUGUUAAUUAAUGAACUGUAGGAAGAAGGUUGUUUAAUGAGAUUGAGGCGAGGCUCUUUGCUGUAUAUAUAACAUAGUUGUUGACAAUUUUUCUUUGUUUAUUAUCAUAAUUUCUGUUCAGAUUCGUAGUUUACAGGUCUGCAUCCACACGAGCUUGGUCACCACUUGCUAGAUUUUAUCGUUUACUCCAUGACGAUGAUGAGCUUCUUUGAUUAAUAAAUGACUCGGCCUUGCUGCAACCAGUUGACAAUAUUGCUUAUGCCAUUGGAAAUACUAAAUCUUCUUCUCUGACAGAAAGACAAUGCAGUCGAAACGUAAAGGACCUGGAUAGUAGUUAUCAACUUAUCAUGGUUGACUUACAAAAUUUUUGAUGUAAUGAUGCCAUAUUCUCCUAAACUUUAAGGUGUCAAAGGAAGUCUUCUAUCAUACAUUAUUCAAAACUGAACCCUCGACAACCGGUAAAAAGAGUAAAAGUUAGACCAUUAGACCAAGAGGUCAUCGGAAACUUUCAGGAAAUUACCUAUUUUUUUGGAAUAAUUAUUAAUCUUUUGGAUUGUUAUUGAAGACUACUUGAAUGUCAAAGUGUACCAGAUUCUUUUAAUUCAUGCUUAAGCAAAUCAAUUAUAAAAUGCUUACAUGCUCAGCUACUAUCACAGAAUAUAAGGGGGUGUUUGGUUGGGGGUUUAUGGGGGUAAAAAGGAAAGGGCUUCCUAUUCCAUAACAUUGUGUUUGGAUUAAAUUUUUAAGAGAGGGGAAUGGGAACCCUUAUACCUCUAGCCUGUUAACACAAACCUGACCUCUACCCCGGGUUACCAAAAUAGAAUCCCAGUCUAUAUUCUCAGUCAAUACAUCUCCUUCAUCGCCGUUUAUUCAUUUCUCUCUAUCGUUUCUUUGCUGUAUGCCGACCNAUCUCUCCCUCUCUCCCAAUCUCUCUUUACACUCCGUCUCUACAUCAGAUUGCUCGAUAGUCAAAGCUGAUUCCAAGGUAACUAUUUGCACAAAACUCUCAUCAUAUCUGUACACUCGUCAGAAAUAUAUGCAUAUAUUUGUGUAAAUUGGCUCACCAUUUAUGCCAGCCAUUUAUGCAAUUUAUGAGUCUGUUGUGCUGUGUGUGCUGUGUGUUCAUGGAAACUGGUAUCAAGGUGUUUGAUUAAAUAUUUAAGUGAGUAUAUUAUAGCUGAAUUAAACAAGUUAUGUUCUUCAAUGUUUUGAUUUGAGUUAACCAGUUCAUAUUGUGUUUUUAUCGAUUAAAAUAUCACUUUGUUAUGUGGGUCAUUGUCCAAUUAUUCAUGACAAACUUUUUAAGUGCUAAUAUGUCUUUUCCUGAAUUUUUAUGUAUAGUAUGAAUACUGGAAGAGGGCAGAACAAGAGGAAUUGGAGUGAUGAGGAGGAUCGUGCACUCAUUGAAACUCUUCAAGAAGUGGUUGUUGAUAUAAAUUGGAAGAGUGAGAAGGGAUGGAGGGAUGGUUACUUAUGAAUUGAGUACUUGUUUUUUUUAUUGAUUUUGUAUGUAUGGCUUGUAUUUAAUAUGACUUGUGGCUAGUAGUUAAUGUUCUUGUAUUUGAAACUUUCAGAGUCAUAAGGAUGCUAGAGGUAUGUGGGGUGUUUCAUUUCCGCAUUUUCAUGCACUUGCCGAGUUGAUGGGGAAUGAUCGAACAACGGGUAGUAAUGCUGAAAAUUUUGCAGAAGCAAUAGAGAAUAUGGGGAAUGAAACAAAUGACUCAAUGUUUAGCGCUUCUACAGAAGAAGCAAAUCAAGAUUUGGUUUCCAAACCUGGUAAAAGGAAGCGAUCAAAGGACAACCCUGAAAAAAAUUUGAUUUCCAUGUUUGAUGAUGUAUCUAGCAAAUUAGGCUCAUUUAUGGAGAAUAUCGAUAAGCAUCUUGGCAAGCUAGUUGCGAGCGAGAGUGAUGACAUGGCUGCUAAAGUGAUGGAGGCUUUGAGACAGAUGGAAGGAUUGUCCAGUGGCCAAAUGCUACAAGCUGCUGAAAUACUUAUGGCCGAGCCUCCUAAAUUAAAGGUUUUUCACCAUGCCGAUGCAGAGUUGAAGAAAGAAUAUAUUUAUCGUCUUUUAUUAGCUAAAAAUAAGUGAUUAAUAUUUCUUGAUUUUAUCUAUUGUUGAUUCUGCAACCUGUUUACGAGACAGUAACAUGCAACAACAUGAAAUUGUUUGUUUUGCUACUAGCCAGAUUUAUCAGACCUUGUUGUUAUAAUGUGAUGGAACUUUUUUAUUCGGAAAAAAUCUUGGAUGCAUGAGAAUUUUAUUUAGAUUGUUUGUUUUGCUCCUAGCCAAAUUUAUUGUUUAUAAAUUUUAUUUAAUCAAAGGAAAUUCGCAACACUCAAUUUUUAAGAAAAAAUAAUUUUAAUAAAAUAAAAAUAACUUAACUAUUUGUGUUUCAAUUAUUAUUAUUAAUUUAUUAAUUAAGACAAAUAAGUUGAUUUUAAAUAUUAUAUUCAAUAAUUUUUUAAUAGAAAUUUUCAAUUUUAACCAAAAAAUAAUAAUUUCAUUCCCAUUCCCAUUCCAGAGUAAUCCAAACAGCUUCAUGUUUUUAACAGAUUGCGAUUCCAGCGCAAUCCAAACAACCUCGGUAACCUCAUUCCCAAACCCGAUUCCCCCCAUUCCCAUUCCCUUGAUUCCCAUUCCUGAUUCCCAUUCCCAUCAGCAAUCCAAACGUCCCCUAAGUUACCAAAGAAAAUCAUUUCAGCAACAACCAAGGCUCGUCUAAAAACAUAUGACUUCGUCCAUUUCCAAUAUUAGUGAACAAACAGUUAUAAUUUGUUACCAUAAAAUUUUACAACGUAAUUAAACUGGAAAAUUUAUUUGGAGAACAAUAUAUUUUUUCUUGUAUAAAAGUUAGUUGCAGCUAUAUAGGUCUGUAAAUGGACCGGAUAUCCGAUCUCAUCCGAUUCGAUCUGUAGUUAAAUAUAUGGAUAUGGAUAAUUAUUAAAAAAACGAUCUGCUAAUAAUUCGGUCCGAUAAAAAAUAGAUAUGGAUAUGGUCAAAUCUGAUGUGUUAAUGAUCCGAUUCAACCAUGCUUAGCUAUAUUAUAUAUGUUAUAUUAUAUUGCAUUACAUUAAAAUAUAUUAUAUUAUAUUUAUAUAUUACAUAUAAAAUAAAAAUUUUAAUAAUAAAAGACAAAACCCUAAAUAUAAUAUCAAGCAAUUUAUUUAUUAUUUUUCUAUUUAUUUGAUACAUACUAUGUUGAAGGUUUUAUAGGAACAGCCAACAGAUUUUUCAGUUACAUUUUUGUUAAUAUCAUGAAACUGCAGACUUUAUAUUAUUGCUUUAUGAGUUCCUUUUUGUACUUGUUAAGUUAAAAUUCAUGAAUUAAUAUAGCUAGAAAAUAUUCCUUUUUCUUUAUGGAAGGUUUAUACAUUGUCCACAUUUCAUAAAUUUUAGUGGAUCGGAUCUCCGAUCCGAUUAUCCACGAUCCGAAUGGACCGGAUAUGGAUUGACUUGUAAUAUAUCCGACUUCUGAUCCGAUGCGAUCCGAAUACGAUAAAAUCAAAUGGACUGGGAUAUGGAUUCAGUUAGAUCCGAUCCAAAUCCGAUCCGUUUACGGGCCUACUGUUGUAUGAUGCACUUAUAAAAAAUUUAUACCCUUUGUUGAUAAGCGAAACUCACUUUUAGUUGAAUAGAAAUAUGAAAUACCAAUACCAAAAUUUAAUCAUCAUUAUAUAAUUUUAUUAUUUAAGAACAAUUAUUAUUAUACUAUUAUGAAAAUAUUUGCAUGUUGGUAAUUAGUAUUUUGUAAUAUAACGACUAUCCCAUCAAUAAAAUUAUAUCCUUAUAAUUCUUCACUUCACUCGAUUAAUUGUCAAGAUAUAGGAUAUUUAUAAUUCGAUAUCCUAAUUGGGGUGAUCACGGUGCGGACGUUGCGAUUGUUGUUUAAAAUAGCAAACCCAACCACAUAUGCGGAUUAGUUGAAUGUUCGAAUCGCAACCACCGUGCUAGCUAGCAUAAAAACCGAGUAAAUCACAUCAGAAAAAUGAAUAACAUAAUUAUAAAUAUAUACAUACAUAUAUAAUAUAAUUUUAUUUAACCAUUACUAAUAAAUUUAGAUAUGUUAUUAUAUUACGGUGCAGUGCGGUUUGAACCGCACUAGUUUAUUUCAAAUCUCUUACAGCACCGCACCGCACCACGUGAUUUGUGAAUAGUUCAAAACACAACCGCACAAUGAAAAUUAAAAAUCACGUCUUGUGGUGCGGGGCCGGGCAUUUCAGACGGUUUGGAUGGUUUUAUAAUUGUCGCUAAUCCUAAUUACCUAUUUGUUGAAACUAUUACAUCCACUCCAAAAUAAAAAUAUUCCCGACAAAAUAAUAAGCUCGAAAAAGGUUUUCUUUAUUUUAAUAUUAUUAUUAUAUAUAAAUAAAAUAAUUACCAAUAUUAUGGCUGAAGACAUAAUCUAGACACUAAUUAUGCAUAGUUAUGAUAAGAGAAUUUUGAUUUCCGUCAAAAAAUGCAUAGUUAUUGUAUGAGAAAUUUUAUUUCCGUCGUAAAUUAUAUGCUUAAUUGUUCCAUGUAAUAGUUUCAAAUCGUAGUUACGAUUCUUUUAAAAAAAAUAACAAUUAGAGUUACAGUCUUUAACCUGAUGAUCAAACAGAAGCCAAUAACAAUUUGCUAAGCUUAAAGAAGAAUAUGUAAGUUCUGUUCUGCAAAGAAAUCAAGCAGACUCUGAUCGAUUAUCAGACCGAAAUUUGGACUCACAGAACCGGUAGCACUGCGCACAAGGAAAACACAGUAGAUACCCACACCAAACACAACAUAUGAAGCACAAUCCUUCAUAUGUUCCUGUCAAUCCUGAAUAAUCUCUAGUCAGGUUCCUCACAUCUUCUGAUACUCCUGCAGUCUUAGUCUUCACUGCAUCUUCUUUCAAUGUCUCUGUCUCUUUCUCAUUAUCUCGGCUCAUUGGCUCGACGACUUGAUUCGCCAAUUUAGUUUCAUCCAUCUCUUGAUCCAAACUCUGAACAACCGGGUCAAUAAGUACUUCAUUAGUAAUGAUCUUUGAUUGAGAUGAUGCUUGAUUCGUAUUAUCUGCAUUUUGCUCGGUUGAACUCUCUAGAGACGACAUUUUAAAAUUUUAGAAAAUCUAGUGAAGCUAAGCAGAGGAGAAAACCUGCAGAGUUUGUAGUAAUUAACAUUGUGAACCAUUUAUAUAGUUGCUAGCUAAGCUCCAGGGUGUGCUUUGAAUUAUUCAGAGUACGACGUCUCAUUUUAAUACAUUUUAGUUACAUAUUUAGUUUUGUUACAGCGAAUAAUCAACUUUUAUUACCAAAAAAAAUCGGAAUUAAAAUAUAGAGCUCGUAAUCUAUUAACAAUGCUGUUUGUCAGAUGCACAAUCAGAGGAGCAUCAGGUCCAACGAGAAAAAGCUAACAACCGCAGUAAUCUGACGU
rnacentral:lncRNA from 1 species